CCUACGGGGGGCAGCAGUGAGGAAUAUUGGUCAAUGGACGAGAGUCUGAACCAGCCAAGUAGCGUGAAGGAUGACUGCCCUAUGGGUUGUAAACUUCUUUUAUAUGGGAAUAAAACGUUCCACGUGUGGGAUUUUGUAUGUACCAUAUGAAUAAGGAUCGGCUAACUCCGUGCCAGCAGCCGCGGUAAUACGGAGGAUCCGAGCGUUAUCCGGAUUUAUUGGGUUUAAAGGGAGCGUAGGUGGAUUGUUAAGUCAGUUGUGAAAGUUUGCGGCCCAACCGUAAAAUUGCAGUUGAAACUGGCAGUCUUGAGUACAGUAGAGGUGGGCGGAAUUCGUGGUGUAGCGGUGAAAUGCUUAGAUAUCACGAAGAACUCCGAUUGCGAAGGCAGUUCACUGGACUGCAACUGACACUGAGGCUCGAAAGUGUGGGUAUCAAACAGGAUUAGAUACCCCAGUAGUC
rnacentral:rRNA from 1 species